GGACAGCCGUCCUGCAAAGACAGGGACAGGGACAGCGUCAGGGUGGCCACGCCUACACCCCCACAGGAACACCGGGGUACUGCUCACUGCACACCCUUCACAUGCCUCACGCUCAAACACACAUGCUGCACAGCACACUGCAAAACCCACACACCACACAACACAGCAUACCGCAAACCACACACAUACCCAUACACUACAGUGCACCGUGAAACGCACACACCACCACAAUUGGCUCAGUGCACGCAACCACACACAAUUACACACCACAGCGCACCGCAAACCACACGCACCACACACAGCGCACCGCAAACCACACACACACCACAGCGCACCGUAAACCACACACACCGCACUGCAAACCUCACACACCACACCGCGAACCCCACACACACCACACACCACAGUGCACUGCAAACCACACACACACACACCACAUACCACAGCGCACCCAAACCCCACACACACCACACAACACAGGACACCGCAAACCCCACACACACCACACACCACAGCGUGACCCUGCAAACCCACCACACAUACCCACAGCGCACCUGCAACCACCACCACAUCGCACCUCGCAAACUCCCACACACCACACCGCAAACCACACAGACCCCACACACCACAGUGCACCGCAAACCACACACACACACACCACAGCGCACCGCAAACCACACACACACCACACACCACAGCGCACCAGAAACCCCACACACACCACACACCACACUGCAAACCACACACACCACACACCACACUGCAAACCCCACAUACAACACACACACCGCAAACCCCACACACCACACCGCAAACCACACACCCACUGCAAACCACACACACACCACACACCACAGCGCCCACAAACCACACACACACCACACACAGCGCACCGCAAACCACACAUGCCACACACCACAGCGCACCAGAAACCCCACACACCACACACCACAGCGCACUGCAAACCACACACACACCACACACCACACUGCAAACCCCACACACACCGCAAACCACACACCCACUGCAAACCACACACCCCACACACCACAGCGCACCAGAACCCCACACACACCACACACCACAGCGCACCGCAAACCACACACACCACACACACUGCAGCAAAACCCACACACAACACACACACCUCAAACCCCACACACCACACUGCCAACCACACACCUACUGCAAUCCACACACAAACCACACACAAAAACGCACCGCAAACCACACACACACACCACAUACCACAGCGCACCCAAACCCCACACACACCACACAACACAAGCAAUACGUAACUGA
rnacentral:lncRNA from 1 species